GGGUUGUGAGGUUAAGCGACUAAGCGUACACGGUGGAUGCCCUGGCAGUCAGAGGCGAUGAAGGACGUGCUAAUCUGCGAUAAGCGUCGGUAAGGUGAUAUGAACCGUUAUAACCGGCGAUUUCCGAAUGGGGAAACCCAGUGUGAUUCGUCACACUAUCAUUAACUGAAUCCAUAGGUUAAUGAGGCGAACCGGGGGAACUGAAACAUCUAAGUACCCCGAGGAAAAGAAAUCAACCGAGAUUCCCCCAGUAGCGGCGAGCGAACGGGGAGGAGCCCAGAGCCUGAAUCAGUGUGUGUGUUAGUGGAAGCGUCUGGAAAGGCGCGCGAUACAGGGUGACAGCCCCGUACACAAAAAUACACAUGCUGUGAGCUCGAUGAGUAGGGCGGGACACGUGGUAUCCUGUCUGAAUAUGGGGGGACCAUCCUCCAAGGCUAAAUACUCCUGACUGACCGAUAGUGAACCAGUACCGUGAGGGAAAGGCGAAAAGAACCCCGGCGAGGGGAGUGAAAAAGAACCUGAAACCGUGUACGUACAAGCAGUGGGAGCACAGAGCAAUCUGUGUGACUGCGUACCUUUUGUAUAAUGGGUCAGCGACUUAUAUUCUGUAGCAAGGUUAACCGAAUAGGGGAGCCGAAGGGAAACCGAGUCUUAACUGGGCGUUAAGUUGCAGGGUAUAGACCCGAAACCCGGUGAUCUAGCCAUGGGCAGGUUGAAGGUUGGGUAACACUAACUGGAGGACCGAACCGACUAAUGUUGAAAAAUUAGCGGAUGACUUGUGGCUGGGGGUGAAAGGCCAAUCAAACCGGGAGAUAGCUGGUUCUCCCCGAAAGCUAUUUAGGUAGCGCCUCGUGAAUUCAUCUCCGGGGGUAGAGCACUGUUUCGGCAAGGGGGUCAUCCCGACUUACCAACCCGAUGCAAACUGCGAAUACCGGAGAAUGUUAUCACGGGAGACACACGGCGGGUGCUAACGUCCGUCGUGAAGAGGGAAACAACCCAGACCGCCAGCUAAGGUCCCAAAGUCAUGGUUAAGUGGGAAACGAUGUGGGAAGGCCCAGACAGCCAGGAUGUUGGCUUAGAAGCAGCCAUCAUUUAAAGAAAGCGUAAUAGCUCACUGGUCGAGUCGGCCUGCGCGGAAGAUGUAACGGGGCUAAACCAUGCACCGAAGCUGCGGCAGCGACGCUUAUGCGUUGUUGGGUAGGGGAGCGUUCUGUAAGCCUGCGAAGGUGUGCUGUGAGGCAUGCUGGAGGUAUCAGAAGUGCGAAUGCUGACAUAAGUAACGAUAAAGCGGGUGAAAAGCCCGCUCGCCGGAAGACCAAGGGUUCCUGUCCAACGUUAAUCGGGGCAGGGUGAGUCGACCCCUAAGGCGAGGCCGAAAGGCGUAGUCGAUGGGAAACAGGUUAAUAUUCCUGUACUUGGUGUUACUGCGAAGGGGGGACGGAGAAGGCUAUGUUGGCCGGGCGACGGUUGUCCCGGUUUAAGCGUGUAGGCUGGUUUUCCAGGCAAAUCCGGAAAAUCAAGGCUGAGGCGUGAUGACGAGGCACUACGGUGCUGAAGCAACAAAUGCCCUGCUUCCAGGAAAAGCCUCUAAGCAUCAGGUAACAUCAAAUCGUACCCCAAACCGACACAGGUGGUCAGGUAGAGAAUACCAAGGCGCUUGAGAGAACUCGGGUGAAGGAACUAGGCAAAAUGGUGCCGUAACUUCGGGAGAAGGCACGCUGAUAUGUAGGUGAAGCGACUUGCUCGUGGAGCUGAAAUCAGUCGAAGAUACCAGCUGGCUGCAACUGUUUAUUAAAAACACAGCACUGUGCAAACACGAAAGUGGACGUAUACGGUGUGACGCCUGCCCGGUGCCGGAAGGUUAAUUGAUGGGGUCAGCGCAAGCGAAGCUCUUGAUCGAAGCCCCGGUAAACGGCGGCCGUAACUAUAACGGUCCUAAGGUAGCGAAAUUCCUUGUCGGGUAAGUUCCGACCUGCACGAAUGGCGUAAUGAUGGCCAGGCUGUCUCCACCCGAGACUCAGUGAAAUUGAACUCGCUGUGAAGAUGCAGUGUACCCGCGGCAAGACGGAAAGACCCCGUGAACCUUUACUAUAGCUUGACACUGAACAUUGAGCCUUGAUGUGUAGGAUAGGUGGGAGGCUUUGAAGUGUGGACGCCAGUCUGCAUGGAGCCGACCUUGAAAUACCACCCUUUAAUGUUUGAUGUUCUAACGUGGACCCGUAAUCCGGGUUGCGGACAGUGUCUGGUGGGUAGUUUGACUGGGGCGGUCUCCUCCUAAAGAGUAACGGAGGAGCACGAAGGUUGGCUAAUCCUGGUCGGACAUCAGGAGGUUAGUGCAAUGGCAUAAGCCAGCUUGACUGCGAGCGUGACGGCGCGAGCAGGUGCGAAAGCAGGUCAUAGUGAUCCGGUGGUUCUGAAUGGAAGGGCCAUCGCUCAACGGAUAAAAGGUACUCCGGGGAUAACAGGCUGAUACCGCCCAAGAGUUCAUAUCGACGGCGGUGUUUGGCACCUCGAUGUCGGCUCAUCACAUCCUGGGGCUGAAGUAGGUCCCAAGGGUAUGGCUGUUCGCCAUUUAAAGUGGUACGCGAGCUGGGUUUAGAACGUCGUGAGACAGUUCGGUCCCUAUCUGCCGUGGGCGCUGGAGAACUGAGGGGGGCUGCUCCUAGUACGAGAGGACCGGAGUGGACGCAUCACUGGUGUUCGGGUUGUCAUGCCAAUGGCACUGCCCGGUAGCUAAAUGCGGAAGAGAUAAGUGCUGAAAGCAUCUAAGCACGAAACUUGCCCCGAGAUGAGUUCUCCCUGACUCCUUGAGAGUCCUGAAGGAACGUUGAAGACGACGACGUUGAUAGGCCGGGUGUGUAAGCGCAGCGAUGCGUUGAGCUAACCGGUACUAAUGAACCGUGAGGCUUAACCUUACAACGCCGAAGGUGUUU
rnacentral:rRNA from 1 species